rnacentral:rRNA from 1 species
GACGAACGCUGGCGGCGUGCCUAAUACAUGCAAGUCGAACGAACUCUGGUAUUGAUUGGUGCUUGCAUCAUGAUUUACAUUUGAGUGAGUGGCGAACUGGUGAGUAACACGUGGGAAACCUGCCCAGAAGCGGGGGAUAACACCUGGAAACAGAUGCUAAUACCGCAUAACAACUUGGACCGCAUGGUCCGAGUUUGAAAGAUGGCUUCGGCUAUCACUUUUGGAUGGUCCCGCGGCGUAUUAGCUAGAUGGUGAGGUAACGGCUCACCAUGGCAAUGAUACGUAGCCGACCUGAGAGGGUAAUCGGCCACAUUGGGACUGAGACACGGCCCAAACUCCUACGGGAGGCAGCAGUAGGGAAUCUUCCACAAUGGACGAAAGUCUGAUGGAGCAACGCCGCGUGAGUGAAGAAGGGUUUCGGCUCGUAAAACUCUGUUGUUAAAGAAGAACAUAUCUGAGAGUAACUGUUCAGGUAUUGACGGUAUUUUACCAGAAAGCCACGGCUAACUACGUGCCAGCAGCCGCGGUAAUACGUAGGUGGCAAGCGUUGUCCGGAUUUAUUGGGCGUAAAGCGAGCGCAGGCGGUUUUUUAAGUCUGAUGUGAAAGCCUUCGGCUCAACCGAAGAAGUGCAUCGGAAACUGGGAAACUUGAGUGCAGAAGAGGACAGUGGAACUCCAUGUGUAGCGGUGAAAUGCGUAGAUAUAUGGAAGAACACCAGUGGCGAAGGCGGCUGUCUGGUCUGUAACUGACGCUGAGGCUCGAAAGUAUGGGUAGCAAACAGGAUUAGAUACCCUGGUAGUCCAUACCGUAAACGAUGAAUGCUAAGUGUUGGAGGGUUUCCGCCCUUCAGUGCUGCAGCUAACGCAUUAAGCAUUCCGCCUGGGGAGUACGGCCGCAAGGCUGAAACUCAAAGGAAUUGACGGGGGCCCGCACAAGCGGUGGAGCAUGUGGUUUAAUUCGAAGCUACGCGAAGAACCUUACCAGGUCUUGACAUACUAUGCAAAUCUAAGAGAUUAGACGUUCCCUUCGGGGACAUGGAUACAGGUGGUGCAUGGUUGUCGUCAGCUCGUGUCGUGAGAUGUUGGGUUAAGUCCCGCAACGAGCGCAACCCUUAUUAUCAGUUGCCAGCAUUAAGUUGGGCACUCUGGUGAGACUGCCGGUGACAAACCGGAGGAAGGUGGGGAUGACGUCAAAUCAUCAUGCCCCUUAUGACCUGGGCUACACACGUGCUACAAUGGAUGGUACAACGAGUUGCGAACUCGCGAGAGUAAGCUAAUCUCUUAAAGCCAUUCUCAGUUCGGAUUGUAGGCUGCAACUCGCCUACAUGAAGUCGGAAUCGCUAGUAAUCGCGGAUCAGCAUGCCGCGGUGAAUACGUUCCCGGGCCUUGUACACACCGCCCGUCACACCAUGAGAGUUUGUAACACCCAAAGUCGGUGGGGUAACCUUUUAGGAACCAGCCGCCUAAGGUGGGACAGAUGAUUAGGGUG